rnacentral:rRNA from 1 species
GAUGAACGCUAGCGGGAGGCUUAACACAUGCAAGUCGAGGGGCAGCAUAGGGUAGCAAUACUCUGAUGGCGACCGGCAAACGGGUGAGUAACGCGUAUGCAACCUACCCUGUACAGGGGGAUAACCCGGAGAAAUUCGGACUAAUAUCCCGUAAUAAUAUCCGGAGGCAUCUUUGGAUAUUUAAAGUUCCGACGGUACGGGAUGGGCAUGCGUAACAUUAACUGGUUGGUAAGGUAACGGCUUACCAAGGCUAUGAUGUUUAGGGGUCCUGAGAGGGUGGUCCCCCACACUGGUACUGAGACACGGACCAGACUCCUACGGGAGGCAGCAGUGAGGAAUAUUGGUCAAUGGGCGCAAGCCUGAACCAGCCAUCCCGCGUGCAGGAAGACGGCCCUAUGGGUUGUAAACUGCUUUUCCAGGGAGAGAAACUUACGCACGUGUUGCGUGACUGACGGUACCCUGGAAUAAGCAUCGGCUAACUCCGUGCCAGCAGCCGCGGUAAAGUCACGUCG